GGAGAGAUGGCUGAGUGGACU
rnacentral:miRNA from 1 species